rnacentral:rRNA from 1 species
UGCAAGUCGAGCGAGCUUGCCUAGAUGAAUUUGGUGCUUGCACCAGAUGAAACUAGAUACAAGCGAGCGGCGGACGGGUGAGUAACACGUGGGUAACCUGCCCAAGAGACUGGGAUAACACCUGGAAACAGAUGCUAAUACCGGAUAACAACACUAGACGCAUGUCUAGAGUUUAAAAGAUGGUUCUGCUAUCACUCUUGGAUGGACCUGCGGUGCAUUAGCUAGUUGGUAAGGUAACGGCUUACCAAGGCAAUGAUGCAUAGCCGAGUUGAGAGACUGAUCGGCCACAUUGGGACUGAGACACGGCCCAAACUCCUACGGGAGGCAGCAGUAGGGAAUCUUCCACAAUGGACGCAAGUCUGAUGGAGCAACGCCGCGUGAGUGAAGAAGGGUUUCGGCUCGUAAAGCUCUGUUGGUAGUGAAGAAAGAUAGAGGUAGUAACUGGCCUUUAUUUGACGGUAAUUACUUAGAAAGUCACGGCUAACUACGUGCCAGCAGCCGCGGUAAUACGUAGGUGGCAAGCGUUGUCCGGAUUUAUUGGGCGUAAAGCGAGUGCAGGCGGUUCAAUAAGUCUGAUGUGAAAGCCUUCGGCUCAACCGGAGAAUUGCAUCAGAAACUGUUGAACUUGAGUGCAGAAGAGGAGAGUGGAACUCCAUGUGUAGCGGUGGAAUGCGUAGAUAUAUGGAAGACACCAGUGGCGAAGGCGCUCUCUGGUCUGCAACUGACGCUGAGGCUCGAA